rnacentral:rRNA from 1 species
UACGUAGGUGGCGAGCGUUGUCCGGAUUUACUGGGCGUAAAGAGCGCGCAGGCGGUCGUUCAAGUCGCGUGUGAAAGCCCCCGGCUCAACUGGGGAGGGUCACGCGAUACUGAUCGACUCGAAGGCAGGAGAGGGUAGUGGAAUUCCCGGUGUAGUGGCGAAAUGCGUAGAUAUCGGGAGGAACACCAGUGGCGAAGGCGACUACCUGGCCUGUUCUUGACGCUGAGGCGCGAAAGCUAGGGGAGCAAACGGG